rnacentral:rRNA from 1 species
UACGAAGGGGGCAAGCGUUGCUCGGAAUCACUGGGCGUAAAGGGCGCGUAGGCGGAUCGUUAAGUCGGGGGUGAAAUCCUGGGGCUCAACCUCAGAAUUGCCUUCGAUACUGGCGAUCUCGAGACCGGAAGAGGUAAGUGGAAUUGCGAGUGUAGAGGUGAAAUUCGUAGAUAUUCGCAAGAACACCAGUGGCGAAGGCGGCUUACUGGUCCGGUUCUGACGCUGAGGCGCGAAAGCUAGGGGAGCAAACGGG